CCCUUAGAUGUUCUGGGCGGCCCGCGCACUACAAUGGCGCUUUCAGCGAGUUCCUAUGUUGAAUUUUCCUUGGUAUUCUUGGAAGCGGCGUCUUGACUUGGGAUAGAUCCUUGUAAUUGUUGGUUUUGAACGAGGAAUUCCUUGUAAUCGCGGUUGAUCAGCUCGCGUUGAAUACGUCCCUGCCCUUUGUACACACCGCCCGUCGCUCCUACCGAUGAAUCGUCCGGUGAAGUUCACAGAGUGGCGGUUCGUGGAGUUGCUCGCGAAGUGAAAUGGACCUCACGAUUUAGAGGAAGGUGAAGUCGUAACA
rnacentral:rRNA from 1 species